UACGUAGGGGGCAAGCGUUGUCCGGAAUCAUUGGGCGUAAAGGGUGCGUAGGCGGGUCUUUAAGUCAGGGGUGAAAUCCUGGAGCUCAACUCCAGAACUGCCUUUGAUACUGAAGAUCUUGAGUUCGGGAGUGGUGAGUGGAACUGCGAGUGUAGAGGUGAAAUUCGUAGAUAUUCGCAAGAACACCAGUGGCGAAGGCGGCUCACUGGCCCGAUACUGACGCUGAGGCACGAAAGCGUGGGGAGCAAACAGG
rnacentral:rRNA from 1 species